rnacentral:tRNA from 1 species
CUUCUGUGGUGUAAUGCAUGAAGGGUUGUGGUCUCUUUGGUGAACUAGUGGUUCCAGGGGUCC